rnacentral:misc_RNA from 1 species
GUUAUGGUUAAAUCAGUUGUUCAAGUCAUUUCCUACUAUGGGCUUUUGGAUUGUACAACUGGUUUAAUAAAGCCCGCUCUCCAUAUGUUGGACUUCAUGCAAGCUUCUAAAGUUACUAAAGGCUCGUGGGUUAGUUUAGUAUGCACUCCAACAUGGUCUCAUAUGGAAUAUAAAGAGUAGAUUCACUGAGUUACGUGUUGUUUUUGUCAAAGCUUUUAUCUAUUCUGGCUUGAAACCUUGUAAUAGGCUACUCAUUUCCCUUUGUCGCUCAUAAACUGCAAUAAAGGCC